GGGGUUGUGGCUCUGUGGUAGAGUUCUCCCCUAGCAUGUGUGAGGCACUAGGUUCAAUCCUCAGCACCA
rnacentral:tRNA from 1 species